CUGCCAGCCCAGAGGGAAACACUGCUGCCAGCCCAGCAGCUGGUGCAGCCUGCCAGGAGGAGAAGAGACUGCAGGACUGCAAAUCACCUGGUGUCCAACCGAGGUUUCCUGAUGAGAGAAAAAAGAAGAGCAAUUCCCAAGCAUGAAAUGUUUCAAAGAUCUAAAAGGAUGUACGAGCAGCUCCCCGAGGUGAGGAGGAAGAGGGAGGAGGAGCAGAGGAGGCAGGAGUACAGCUCCUACCGCCUGAGGGCUCAGCUCUACAAAACUAAGAUCACCAGCCAUGUCCUGGGGAAGAAGGUGUCCUGGAGCUGACCUCAGCCAGCCUGAGCUGAGCACACACAGCACUGGCACAGGGAGAAGGCACUAAAUGCUUCUGCAGCCCCACUUUGUGCUCUUGGCUCCCUUCUGUGCUCACUGGUCCUGCCCUGCGUAAGAAUCAGGGAUUUGGGGGGAGUGUCAGGGUUUUAAAUAAAUAGCUGGGGUUUUAUAGUGGUGUUAGGCACUUCCAGAGGAAACAGAGUCUGGAAAAACUUGGUUCAUAAUAUAUUUAUAACUCCCUGAUUGGAAUAGCAGUUUUAUGUAUUUAUUUUCAAUGGGUUUUAAGGAGGAUUUUUAGAUUUUUUUAAAUUCCUGUCUCAGUGUAGAAAAUUCACUUGUUAUGUUUUGUACUUCAAUAAAACAGCUGAGUUGUAAUAA